GCAGCUCCUAAUACCUCUUCAAAACCCUCGGUUCACUACUUCUGUGUCUGACCAACGCUCCAAUAAGACUAGCAAAGAAAUCCGCCAAUUCUUGUGCUACCGUUCGGCGAUAAUGGCGUCUCGUUACAGAGCAAUCUCAAGACCAGCAACCAACCUUCUCAAAACCACCUUUACGAAGCCAUCCAGCAGACCCGCCUUUACUGUUCAAUCAAUACACUCCUCAUCGACCCUUUUCUCAAGGCCAUUGCCUCAAAUGGUUGCCCUCCAGUCUCUAUUGCCACUCCACACUGCAGUGUCCUCGGCGAGGCUCACUUCUUGUCUAGGUGCAGACACCACGGGCUGCAGGUCUUUGUCUCAGGGUAUGCUCUGCAGUGCGAACCCUGGAGUUUGAUAGAUUUUGUAAUUUUUCUGGAUUUGCUGCCACCAGCCUACCACCUGAUUAGUUAGGCACCAUGUGUCUACAUCUGCGGCACUCAUGUAUUAAAACUAGGUCUCAGCGUACCUCGAUAAGAGAUGAAAUGCUAAAGCUCGAAGAACAAGCUUGAUUUGAUGGUCAUGGUUUCUUAUCACAUCAGUUUCCAUUUACAUUCUCCAGCAUCAAAAACUCUUGUCAAUUUUGUAUAAGCAAAUAUUCCUGGAUUUAACUUUGGGUUAUGCAUCUUCCAGUUGAACUUCUCUUCCA